GGAGGUAGUGACGUGAAAUAACGAUGCGGGACUCUUCCGAGGCCUCGCAAUCGGAAUGAGUUAACUUUAAAUCCUUUCGACGAGGAUCGAUUGGAGGGCAAGUCUGGUGCCAGCAGCCGCGGUAAUUCCAGCUCCAAUAGCGUAUAUUAAAGUUGCUGCGGUUAAAAAGCUCGUAGUUGAAUCUCACGAUUCAACAGGAAGUGAGCGCCGUGGUGGUAGUAGUAGCAAUUACAGUAGAAGGUUUUGAUAUUAUAAUAAGACUACCUCUUCCACCUCGGCCGCGGCUGCUGUUGCUGCUGCUGCUGCUGCUGCUGCUGCUGGCUCUCGCGCGCUCGCGUUCGGUCGGCAACUUCACUUUGACAAAAUUAGAGUGCUCAGAGCGGGCAAGAUCUGAAGCCCGAAUGGAGGUGCAUAGAAUGAUCUAAGAUGACCUCGCGAUCUAAACGUUUGUCGGUUUAUGGGGUCGCGAGGUAAUGAUUAAA
rnacentral:rRNA from 1 species